rnacentral:rRNA from 1 species
AUUGAACGCUGGCGGCAGGCCUAACACAUGCAAGUCGAGCGGAUGAAGGGAGCUUGCUCCUGGAUUCAGCGGCGGACGGGUGAGUAAUGCCUAGGAAUCUGCCUGGUAGUGGGGGAUAACGUCCGGAAACGGGCGCUAAUACCGCAUACGUCCUGAGGGAGAAAGUGGGGGAUCUUCGGACCUCACGCUAUCAGAUGAGCCUAGGUCGGAUUAGCUAGUUGGUGGGGUAAAGGCCUACCAAGGCGACGAUCCGUAACUGGUCUGAGAGGAUGAUCAGUCAGACUGGGACGGAGGCACGGUCCAGGCUCCUACGGGAGGCAGCAGUGGGGAAUAUUGGACAAUGGGCGAAAGCGUGAUCCAGCAAUGCCGCGUGUGUGAAGAAGGUCUUCGGAUGGUAAAGCACUUUGAGUUGGGAGGAAGGGCAGUAAGUUAAAACCUUGCUGUGUUGACGUUACCAACAGAAUAAGCACCGGCUAACUUCGUG